rnacentral:lncRNA from 1 species
AGCACUGCUGAGGGGGUGGCCAGGGGAAGGGCCCACCGCCCACCAGGAGGUCUGCCUGCGGCUCUGCUCCUCCCUGGCACACAUCAUGGACUCCCAUUAUACAUGGAACACGUGCCUGGUGGGGAUCGAUGCCACCAUGGGGCCUGGGAUUAUUUGCAUCUUUGCUGGAAAGAGCCUUCACACCAACAUGAAACUUCAAGGACGCUAGAACGUCAGCGCCUGCCUGAGCGCCCCCAUCCUUCAGUGUGUCUGUGGACAGGGCUUGCGGUUCUAUGAAGAUAUGGCAGAAAGUAUUUUGGAGGAGAAAAGCAAUCCAGUGAGGAGGUGACCACGGUAAAAGUGAGGCAUCACUAGAAUCCACCCAGCCAAAGCUUACAGCGGAAAAUGGGUCACAGGGUGACCACAGUGAGUCAUUCUGGAUGGGGUACAACCCACACACCCCCACCACCAGCUGCCUGGCUCCUCUGGGAAUUUCCAGUGGAAAAUCUCCACUUCUGAUCCAAGAAGGAGGGGAUGGCCUGUCCCAGUGGGAACACUAAGGAAAUCGAUGCAACUCAAUUCACUGUAAAAUGUGUGUCUAUUGAGCUUUUGUGAAUGCACAUUUGCCAAACCCUGUGCUUUCUCUCACAGCGCUGCAGAGGCCACAGAAACGGAUGGUAUCAGGAAAAGUUUUCAGGCAGGAGUCAUGUUCAGGACGGCGUCGCCGCAGCGCGCUCCCAGCAGCCCAGGCGAGGACGCGCGGCGGCCCGCGGGCGGACGAGGAAGCGUGGUGUGUCCGAGCGGCGGUGUCAUUCAGGCGCGGAAAGGAGGGACGUCCUGGUGCUGCUGCACCGGCAGAGACGCUUCAGACUACGCUCGGUGAGCGUCCAGACGCAGAAAGUCACGGCGUGUGGGGUUCCGUUUACAGGAACUGCCCGGCGUCGGCCCGUCCGUAGAGAUGGAAAGCGGAUCGGUGAUCGCCGGCGGCUGGGCAGGGAGUAUGGCAAAGGGAGCUGCUGCUCACGGGCGCGCGCUUUCCCCUGGGGGGACGAGAAUGUUCUGGAACAAGAUCGAGGUGACAGCUGCGCAACAUUCUGAUUGUACGAGAUGCCAAUGAAUUGGACGCUAACAUGGUUACAAUGAUGAAUUUUAUCUGAAGGAAGGAAGGAGAGAAGGAAGGGGGUGGCCUAGGCUGACUGCCUCCACGGUAAGGGCCUCGAGGCCAGGCCUGCGCCCGCUCUCUGAGGAGCGCUCCCCUGGAAGGCAUCGCGAUGGUCCUGAUAGCUGUGCAGGAGCGAUGGAGAUGUACCUGCUGAGGCCCAGAGCGGGCGACAAGCCACUUCAGGGACAAGCAAGAGGCCAGUGGCUGCCCAGAGUGACCGGCUAGCAGCAGGGCUAAGAUCCGCCCACUGGCAUGCUCUCCGGGCACCCUGCGUGUGCACUGUCCUUUCCUCCCGGGCCUGGUUCGAAGGAGACUGGUCCCAUCCCAUUCAUGCCGUGAAGAGGGAUUGGCAGUGCCUGGCACCUCGUCUACUCUGGAAAGACCUGAAGUUGCACAAGGGCUGAUGUCAGGUCCUGUGGGAUGAGUUACAGCCCCACCGCCCUGUCACAUUUGGCUCUCUGCCUUUGCUUGAAGUUCACAGCCUCCUCCUUUCCGGUCCCCUGAUUCUUGAUGUUUAAUUGCUAAUAGCAAUCCCUCCCCUUCUAUUUAUAACCACUUCAUAAUGCAGACCAGUGUCUCCCUGUGGUCGGGUGGUUUUAGUAAAUCCGCUCAGUAAUCUGAUGCUAACAGUCAGAGCAGUGUGUUUCUCUUGACCCUGGCUGAGAGUCACUUUGUGUGGUGGCACCACUCCCAGCCCUGAGAUGGGGGCAGCCCGUUCCCGCGUGGAAAAACCAACUUGCUCUUCCACUUCUUGUGGAUGAGUGUACACGCACUUGGGUGUGGGUGGGGUGGGGGCUGCCGAGGCAGGACAGAGGGCACCGUUAUUGGAGCCCAGGCUGAGUGUUUCUCCUUGCUCCAUGCACACAGACGUUUUUGAAGUCAGUUUGGAUUUUUGUGGAAACUUCAUUUUUUUAUUUUUCCCUCUUGUUUCUCUGGUAACAUCGAAAACAAACACACACAGAUGUGUCACCUGGCUCCCAGCUACGUUUUUCCAGCAGACACCUACAACUGGAAACUCAGCAGGACUUGGACUCCAGAAUCCAAAUGAACUCUUACUUAACUCCUCCUCCACCAAUUCUCUCUGUGCCUCACCCACCACAGAGCUGGCUGGGCAGACGCCCUCUUCCAGGCACCAAGGAGAAAGGGCUGUGGCUACUCUGUCCACCACCCAGGAACAGGCUUCUCCCCAGACAUUUGCAGGGGAAGAAAUCUCUGCUCCCAUAUCUUCCUGCCCUGCUCGUGAUUUAAAUAUAAGAACGAAGGUGUUUGCAACACUCACUUGCCUUCUCCGAACAACCAGAGCUUCUGACCGUGGAACAGGCUAUUUAUUCCCCAAAGCUGAGGAUUCCUUGUCUCUAGAAACCACAGAAUUUGCUUACUAGGAAAAUAUUGUUCCUUUAUUCCAGUUGUUUCAUUGUAAAAUGAAGCAGCUAAGGAACAAAGAGGAGGCCACACAGAGAAUUAGUGGUAAAGCUAGAGAGAGGAAGCCCGUUCCUGGCUCCAGUCUGCCCUCCACACCAUUCGGCUGGUCCCCACUGAGAGAAGCUGCCGAGUAUCUCGUCUGGAAGGCCUCCCAGGCUCCAGGAACUAGCUUUUUCACCAGUUCUGUUUUUGCUGACUUGUUCCAUUUUUGUUCUAAAUAAGGAAUUUCACAUUUCUACCCAGUUUUGAAUCUCAAAUAUGUACUCUGACAAUAUAGAAACUUUUCUAACACAUAGUAGCAUAUCAGCCAAAUUUCCCCUUUUACUCAUUAAUUCACCAAAUGGUUAUUCAACACCUACUGUGAGCUGGGCCAUGUGUGGUGGGAAUGCAAGGGUAGAUACAACCAAGUCUGUGUCCGCAAGAGCUCCUGGUGUCCCGUAGUGCAGCAGACAGAGGCACGGACAGGUGAUGCCUGCCUUGCAGGCCACAGUGCCAACACGGGUUGGCUUGGAGAUGUCCUUCCCUCUGCAGUGUUUACAGGAACUGUCUGCAGGUCCUGCUGCCAUGGCCCUCUUCACUGGAUGCUGGCUCUUCAACCACAUAUGUAAACUCAGGGUAAAUCUUUCUCCCUUCAUCUGGCUGUGAAGGAAUUCUGACAGAAGCGUACCUCUCGGACAGGGUCCAUCUCAGCUCUAACAUGCCUGAAAGCAGUGAACCGCUUAAACAGAGACUUCCUUCAAAAACACUGAAUAAAGAAAAUCCCUGGACUUAAUAAAAAUUGCUGCCAUUCGAAAACAAAGAGACACGAGGUGCUGGUUCAUGUCCUUCAUCAGGCAGAUGCCAAGAUAGGAUUAGCUGUGCAGAUGUCAUGGGGAAACAUCUGUGAAAGACAAAGGGGAGGGAGCUGGGAAGGCAUGGGGGAGAAAGGAGGAUGGGCAGGAAGUCUGGGACUGCUGCACAGGCCAUGGAAGGUUCUGGAGCCCAAGUCACCCCUUCGUGGCGUCCUGUGUGUUGCAGGAGUGACCUGCGUUAGUGUCCCCCCAGCUGAGUCUUGG